rnacentral:tRNA from 1 species
CGGGGUAUAAUGUCAAUUGGUAGACGGCUCGCUUUGGAAGUGAGAGGUUGUAGAUUCGAGUUCUACUACCCCGACCA